UGGUGAGUAACACGUGGGAACAUACCUUGAAGUGGGGGACAACAGUUGGAAACGACUGCUAAUACCGCAUAAUCCCUGAGGGGGAAAGAUUUAUCGCUUUAAGAUUGGCCCGCGGAAGAUUAGGUAGUUGGUGGGGUAAAGGCCUACCAAGCCGACGAUCUAUAGCUGGUCUGAGAGGACGAACAGCCACAUUGGAACUGAGACACGGUCCAGACUCCUACGGGAGGCAGCAGUGAGGAAUAUUGGGCAAUGGAGGAAACUCUGACCCAGCCAUGCCGCGUGAGUGAAGAAGGUUUUCGAAUUGUAAAGCUCUUUCGGAUGGGACGAUGAUGACGGUACCAUCUAAAGAAGCCCCGGCAAACUUCGUGCCAGCAGCCGCGGUAAUACGAAGGGGGCA
rnacentral:rRNA from 1 species